rnacentral:tRNA from 2 species
GUUGCGGUGGCCGAGUGGUUGAGGCGUUGGACUAGAAAUCCAAUGGGAUCUUCCCGCGCAGGCCCGAAUCCUGCCCGCAACG